rnacentral:tRNA from 1 species
GCCUGGGUGGCUCAGUCGGUUAAGCAUCUGACUUCUGCUCAGGUCAUGACCUCAUGGUUCCUGGGUUCGAGUCCCACAUCGGGUG